CACUUAGAUAACUUAAAAAUGUUAUUGUUUGGCUUUUUUCAGUAUUUGAUUUGUUCCUGAGUAAAUCGGUUUGGCUGAGAUUAAAGUUAUAGUUUUCACACAGCUGAAUAAACGUCAAGCAGACAACUGAUUAUCAGAAGUGUGAGAUGCUCGAGAAUAUACUCCGGUGGCCCGUUAUAUUUUAGAUAGCAAGGAGUUUAUUAAACUUCACCGAAACAAUCUGCAAAUUUCAUUAAAAUUUAAUAAACUAUCAUCUUGUCUUUAUUUUUAGUUCGCACAUACCUUAAACACUUAAAGCUGUAAGCUAAUGAUAGUUAUAUAAGAGCAGAUGCUGCUGGUGCAAUAAGCUGUACGUUUUACGUCCAAUGGAUCCAUGAUCUGAUUAGUCGACUAAUCGCAAAAAUAAUCGGUGACUAGUCGACUAUCAAAAUAAUCGUUUGUGGCAGCCCUAUUAUGAAACCCCAGCCAUGCACAAGUCAUCGGGAUCCUUGGCAGCAACAUCACCCUUCAAUUUACAUUCAACGUUAGCAUUACUGAAAACAGUCAAAUUGGAAUUUAUACAACAGGCGAGAAAAAGAUUGAUGAUUUUAAAAGUGGGAAAAGUUCCUUUGAUAUUUACCCCCAAAAGAAUUCUGUAUUUUACCACAUCACAAAUCUCACUCUAAGCCACAGUAACACCUACUGGGCCAGUUUACUUGGUGGUAUCCCGAGAAAAAGUAAUGAAGUGGAGCUGUUCAUUGAAGAGAAGAACACACACAGUACAGGUAAGGACAUUUGUCAUCAUUAUAAACUACACACAAUGGAAAUGACACCAACUGUACUAUAUGAAGUGAAAACAUGCAGAGUUACUAAGUUUCAGUGAUGAAAUAUCUCAUCUUUUCCCCACAGUGCACAUGUUUAAACUACCCAGUGUCCUUAAACAACCUCUGAAUAACUAAAAUAUAAUAUUUCUGAUGUAUGGAACUGUGAUCAGA
ensembl:lncRNA